GAUGAACGCUAGCGGGAGGCUUAACACAUGCAAGUCGAGCGGCAAGGUAGCAAUACCCUAGAGCGGCGCACGGGUGAGUAACGCGUAUGCAACCUACCUUUUACAGGGGAAUAGCCUGGAGAAAUUCGGAUUAAUAUCCCAUGGUUCCAAGAUGCUGCAUGGUAUUUUGGAUAAAGUUCAGGCGGUAAGAGAUGGGCAUGCGUGACAUUAGGUGGUUGGUAGGGUAAUGGCCUACCAAGCCGACGAUGUCUAGGGGUUCUGAGAGGAUGAUCCCCCACACUGGUACUGAGACACGGACCAGACUCCUACGGGAGGCAGCAGUGAGGAAUAUUGGUCAAUGGGCGCAAGCCUGAACCAGCCAUCCCGCGUGAAGGAUGAAUGUACUAUGUAUUGUAAACUUCUUUUCUGUUCCAAGAAAUGUUCGUACGUGUACGGAUUUGACGGUAGGACAGGAAUAAGCAUCGGCUAACUACGUGCCAGCCGCCGCGGUAA
rnacentral:rRNA from 1 species